UACGGCCACAUCACUUUAAACAUCUGUUCUCGUCCGAUCACAGGAGUUAAGCAACGUCGAGUCUGUUCAGUACCUAGAUGGGUGACCCCUUGGAAAUACCAGGUGUUGUAA